GGGGGUGUAGCUCAGUGGGAGAGCACCUGCCUUGCAAGCAGGGGGUCAGCGGUUCGAAUCCGCUCAUCUCCA
rnacentral:tRNA from 1 species